rnacentral:rRNA from 1 species
ACGUAGGUGGCAAGCGUUGUCCGGAUUUAUUGGGCGUAAAGAGAAUGUAGGCAGUUCAUUAAGUUUGAAGUGAAAGCCCUCGGCUCAACCGAGGAAGUGCUUCGAAAACUGGUGAACUUGAGUGCAGAAGAGGAAAGUGGAACUCCAUGUGUAGCGGUGGAAUGCGUAGAUAUAUGGAAGAACACCAGUGGCGAAGGCGGCUUUCUGGUCUGUAACUGACGCUGAGAUUCGAAAGCAUGGGUAGCAAACAGG